CGAGCGAAGCGGGAAGAGCUCAAAUUUGUAAUCUGGCACCUUCGGUGUCCGAGUUGUAAUCUCUAGAAGUGUUUUCCGCGUUGGACCGCACACAAGUCUGUUGGAAUACAGCGGCAUAGUGGUGAUACCCCAUUACACGGUGCGGACGCCCAGCGCUUUGUGAUACACUUUCGACGAGUCGAGUUGUUUGGGAAUGCAGCUCAAAUUGGGUGGUAAAUUCCAUCUAAAGCUAAAUAUUGGCGAGAGACCGAUAGCGAACAAGUACCGUGAGGGAAAGAUGAAAAGCACUUUGGAAAGAGAGUUAAAAGUACGUGAAAUUGUUGGAAGGGAAACGCUUGAAGUCAGACUUGCUUGCCGGGCUUGCUCGGUUUGCAGGCCAGCAUCAGUUUUCCGGGGCGGAUAAUGGCAGUUAGAAUGUAGCAGUCUCGGCUGUGUUAUAGCUUUCUGCUGGAUACGUCCUGGGGGACUGAGGAACGCAGCGUGCCGUAUGGCGAGGGCUUCGGUCCUUUCACGCUUAGG
rnacentral:rRNA from 1 species